rnacentral:tRNA from 1 species
GGGGAUUUAGCUCAGCGGCAUAGCAUCUGCCUGGCAAGCAUGAGGUCGUGAGUUCAAUUCCCA